rnacentral:tRNA from 1 species
ACCUGGGUGGCUGAGUUGGUUGAGUGCCUGACUUUGGCUCAGGUCAUGGUCUCUCAGUUUGUGAGUUCAAGCCCCACUUCAGGCU